GCCCGCCCCGUGACGCACCCGGGCCCGCCGGGACGUGCUGCCCGUGUGCCCGUGUUGUUGACUCUGCCACCCCCCAGCGCGGGGCGGGCCCUGUUUUUGUAGGGUCGGCGCUGAUGAGUCAGAGGCGGGCGGGGCGGGGGCGGAUGUGUGGGGGCAGCCCCGAGCUGUGCCUUGUGGUCUCACGGGUCCCCCACCUGGCACCUUUGGCCCUGGGUGCUGCCCCAGCCCCCUGGCACCUCCUCCCGCCCCUGUCACCUACUGGUUGUCCCCCCCCACACACACCAAGCUCAGGUCUUGCCUCCUGGCCUUUGCACUGGCUGUUCUGUUGCUAGGAACGCCCUCCCCAGAUCCACCUCCCAGUCCCCUAGUCAUGCUCUGGCCGUGUUUACUUCUUUAUGGCUCUGAUCUCUGUGUUUGUGACUGCCAGGUGUCACUGUGGCUCCUCCAUCAGACUGGCUGCACCCAAGGAUGGGCACCCUUUUCUCCUCACUGGAUUUCACAGUGACCCAACCAGCCCAGACCGGCCCAGGGAGCCAUCCCACCUGGCCCCACCUUGCUCACCUUGGCCAGCUCUGCGAGUGUGUUGGCCUGGUCGUUCAGCUUUCCCUGCUCAAUCUUCACACUCCGGAGCCUGAGGACAGUUAACCUGGCCAGGGAAGUGGUUCCAGGUAAGACUCUCUUCUUCACUGGUUCAAACGCAGCCUGUGUGCCCACAUGCGAUGGAUGCCUGGGGAGGCCCCUCGGGGCCCACCAUGCUGAAUACUGCCGGGGCCCCCAAGACCCAGCCCUCAGUCUGGAGAAACGGAGGUGGAGUCUGUACACAGACACGCACAGAUGGAGGACAAUAUGAAGACGCAGGAAGAACAGCACAUGAAAAUGACCAUUGGAGCGAUGCAUCUGUCAGCUAAGAGUGCCGGAUGCUGCCAGAAGCUAGGAGAGAGCCCUGGAACAGAUCCUCCCUGGCACCUUCAGAGGGAACACAGCCCUGCUGACACCUGGAUUUUGGUCUUCUGGCCUCCAGGACAGUGAUCAUAAAUUCUGCUGCUUCAAACCACCCACUUAUUACAGCCAAGGAGACACGCACACUCCCCACCCCAUCUUCUCCAAGACCACCUCUUCCUUUCCUCUGGCUUUGCACACAGCGCUCCCUCCGGGGGCCUCUCCAGCUCGAGGACGUGCCCCGGCUGCCUCCUGUGUGCAGAGCAGACCUCGUUUCCCUGGUGUGUGCCUGAGCCCACCGCCUUGCCUUCCUCAAGCUGUGGGCACUCCUUGGUAUGCAGCCUGCCUCUCAGUUUCCGACUCAGAUCUUAUCCACCCUCAGGCCCUAGUGCACACUUGCUUGACUUCAUCAUCUGUUCUUACAGGGCUACUAUUUUUGGUGGGGGGUGGGGGUGCAGGGAGAUCUAAAGGUGAGUGCAACAGUCCUGCCCUAGAACAAAUGGUCACAGACCAUUCACAGAGCAGGUGCCUUCUCCCAAGACCUGGCUCUCCUCAGUUCUCAUACCCCUGCUUUCCCCAAAGAACUUUCUGGAACAUCCCACAGGGCAAGAUCCAGGGCGGGGCCUCGUCUAGUGACCCCCACACCGGCUGGUGCAGGAAAUGCUUGUGGAAUGACAAAACGACCAGAUCGAGGGCGGAAGUAACCACAAUCCAGUUCCUAUAUUUAGAAAGCACUGUGUGUCAGUCUGGCCCAGGUGAGUCAUCGGUCAUCCGGACUGUGUUCGAUCUGCAUCACACUCCUGGGAGAGAGGCACAUCACCGUCAUCUCCGCUUUACACAUAAGAUACUUGGAGCAGUGUCGUCACCUGCCCAGGCCCCACUGUUCGGUGGGAGAGACCGGAUUGGGAACCAGUGGUCAGCUAACAACUAUGGGAGAGUCAGCAAGGAGAGGUCCCUGUCCUCAAGGGUCUCAAAGUCUUGUGAGGAGGCAGGACUAACGCCUGGGCACAGUGAAGUCAAUGGAUACCAGCUCCUCUCCCGCGUGUUCAGAUGGUGGUGGAAGCAGAGGCAGAGAGCAGGGGCUGGGGGUGAGGUGGACGCUCUGUGCUACCAAGAGGUUGCUCUGUGCUGGGGACCCUGCCAGGCAUUUCUGCGAAUCAUCUCAUUUAGACCUCCCGAAGUCCUGGGCAGUGGGGAUCAUUAUCAUUAGGAAGCAACCCAGUUAUAACAGCAAACACAAUACAUGUAAAUGAACUAAACUCUCCAGUUAAAAGACAAGGAUGGAAAGCGGCAUAAGAAAACUUUUGGGGGGAUGGAUCUGUUCAUUAUCUUCACUGUGAUGAUCGUUUCAUGGGUGUGAAUAUAUGUUCACACUCAUCGAACUGUACACUUUCAGUAGGUGCAGUUGACUAUGUCAAUUAUACCCCAAUAAAGCUGUUUCUAAAAAAGAGGUAAACAUGAUUGAACAGAAUUAAACAAUUAAAGCCCAGCUGGCGAGCCUCUUCUCCCAUGGCCUGGUCUCUCCCUGGGAAGUGGUCACUCUCCUUUACCUCUGGACGCCCAGGCUCUGGGCUGCCCCAGCCGCACCUGGGCUCCCUGCUCUAUCCACAUCCCCAUCCCACCGCUCACACUGGUGUUCCCUGUGCGGCCUCUUGGUUAUGGUUGAGUCGGUUGCCUUCCUGCUGCACUAGCUCAGACCCUAACCCUGUUCAUCUCACUCUAACUCAUCAGCCCCUGAGUCUGGCCUGCGAGUUCUGGGGGCAGGAGCCUUCUCGGGCACCGAGGAGAAGCCACUUGUGAAUGGGUUUUCUCGUGAUCUGAGACUCGGGAACUCUCUUCAGAGAGGCUCAUUCUGAAAAGUGCCUAAGAACAUGUUUUUACUCUUUAAAAAAAUCAGGUGCCACGUGACUCAACCCCACAGAAUUCGGAGCUGUUUAAAUUCUCGACAGGGUGCUGUCUCAUGCAUCCUAUAUGUGGCACUUGAAGUGUGGUCAGUCCGAAUAAAAACAAGCUGUAAGUGUAAAAUAUGCAAUGGACUUUGAAGAUUUAGUACAAAAAACUUUAUAAAGUAUCUCAAUGAUUUUUUAAACCUUAAUCACAUGUUAAAAUAAUAAUUUGGAUACACUAAAUAAAUAUAUUAAUUUUA